GGGUCGAUGGCGUAGCUGGUUAUCGCAUCUGUCUAACACCAACGAUCGUUGGCGUCCUAUACCACAGAAGGUCCUCAGUUCGAACCUGGGUCGACUCA